CUCCGUCAUUUACUCGUGUUCGUUUUAAGCAUGAGCUGUGUUGGUAUUUUCGCUCGAUAUCAUGAUUUAACAAGUGCUAUUGAUAUCUAUUUAUAAAAUCUCGUCAUGGACAUCCGUGAUGUGGCCAGGAGCAAUAAACUGGUAAAAAGACGGAGGCUUUGAUGCAGAACUAAGUGAACGCAAUCCCGAGAGAAUCCGGAACCGAGAAGAAAUCUAGCAACAAUAGUAACAUUUUGUUCAAUCGUAAACAACGGCGGGAGCUAUAAAAUAAUACAAGUGCUUGCGCGAACCGGUUUGGAGUGAGUCUUUGGAAUGAGUCGCAAGCAAAAACCAUAGAAUCUCGGCAUACCGGUAACGUUCAGAAUAAAACAUUACUAAGAACGCCAGCUCAAUUAGGAGUUUAAUUUAGACACUAUAGAAUAUUAGCCGGUUCUGUAUUCCACGUCUCUGAACACUUUGUGAACUUCUUGUCGUCUCUGUCAACUUUGCUGAAUAUUAUCAAGUUUUUGAUUAUUAAAAAUAAUUUUACAAUUUU